AUUGAACGCUGGCGGCAUGCCUUACACAUGCAAGUCGAACGGUAACAGGUCUUCGGAUGCUGACGAGUGGCGAACGGGUGAGUAAUACAUCGGAACGUGCCCGAGAGUGGGGGAUAACGAAGCGAAAGCUUUGCUAAAUACCGCAUACGAUCUCAGGAUGAAAGCAGGGGACCGCAAGGCCUUGCGCUCACGGAGCGGCCGAUGGCAGAUUAGGUAGUUGGUGGGAUAAAAAGCUUACCAAGCCGACGAUCUGUAGCUGGUCUGAGAGGACGACCAGCCACACUGGGACUGAGACACGGCCCAGACUCCUACGGAGGCAGCAGUGGGGAAUUUUGGACAAUGGGCGCAAGCCUGAUCCAGCCAUGCCGCGUGCAGGAUGAAGGCCUCGGUGUAACUAGCUUUGUACGGUAACGAAAA
rnacentral:rRNA from 1 species